GAAAUGCGAUAAGUAGUGUGAAUUGCAGAACACAGUGAAUCAUCGAAUCUUUGAACGCACAUUGCGCUUCCUGGUAUCCCGGGGAGCAUGCCCGUUUCAGAAUCAUUAAAUACUCAUCAAACUAGGUACAGUAUUGUACUUAGUUUGUAUGGAUUUGGGAUAAUUUUGUCUCUUUAAUGAGAUAGAAACAUCCUAAAAACCAUUUGUGGAUGCUGUUAACUGUUAUUACAGUCGCAAUGAUCCAAAGUGCAACAGUGCUUGAAAUAUAGGCUUAACACUUGGGGUUUGCAAUUGUAUGUUAGUAGUGUCUCAGAUUAUUUACAAAGUAAUAUUGAAAGAUAUUAUUUUAAACUUGGUCUGAAAUCGGGCAAGAAAACCCGCUGAACUUAA
rnacentral:misc_RNA from 1 species